rnacentral:rRNA from 1 species
AUGGCCUCUGCCCCCGCCCACCACUUGCGCGUGCGCGUCCUACUAGUGGUACUGUGCGCCGUCUCGGCGUCGGCGUCGGCGUCGUUUCCGUGGCCGUGGAAGCGGAGCGGGCACGACUACCGCGACGCUCUGGCCAAGUGCAUCCUCUUCUUCGAGGGGCAGCGGUCCGGGCGGCUGCCGGCGGACCAGCGCGCGGCGUGGCGGGGCGACUCCGGCGUGUCGGACGGCAGGGCGGCGGGCGCCGGGGUCGACCUGGAGGGCGGGUACUACGACGCCGGCGACAACGUCAAGUUCGGCUUCCCCAUGGCCUUCACCACCACCAUGCUGUCCUGGAGCGUCCUCGAGUUCGGCGACGACAUGCCGCGCGAGGAGCGCCGCCACGCCGCCGACGCCGUGCGCUGGGGCACCGACUACCUCCUCAAGACCCUCGCCCACCCCGGCGUCAUCUUCAUGCAGGCAAGCGCGCGCGCACGCCGCCCACAUUGCACCUCCACCGCAUGCCACGGCAGAGCACGCCGCCGUACGCGCACGAGAGUGACCGGCCGGUCUCCGGCAUUGUGUAUGAUGCAGGUGGGCGACCCGUGGAAGGACCACGAGUGCUGGGAGAGGCCGGAGGACAUGGACACGGAGCGCACGGUGUACAACGUCAGCGCGGGGCGGCCGGGGUCGGAGGUGGCCGGGGAGACGGCGGCGGCGCUGGCCGCGGCGUCCAUGGUGUUCCGCGACGGCGACCGGGAGUACGCCGAGCUGCUGCUCGACAGCGCCAAGAAGGCGUUCGAGUUCGCCGACUCGCACAGGGGCGCCUACAGCGACGACAUGGAUCUCAGAGCCGGCGGCUGCCCCUUCUACUGCGACUUCAACGGAUACCAGGAUGAGCUGCUGUGGGGCGCGGCGUGGCUACGGAGGGCCUCCGGGGACGACACAUUCCGGGAGUACAUCCAGAACAACGGCAAGACCCUCGGAGCAGAGGACAGCAUCAACGAGUUUGGUUGGGACAACAAGCACGCCGGUCUCAAUGUCCUCAUUUCCAAGGAGUUCAUAGAAGGCGAGGCGCUGUCCAUGCAGUCCUACAAGGAGUCCGCAGACAGCUUCAUCUGCACGCUCAUCCCUGAGUCGUCGUCGCCGCACAUCCAGUACACGCCCGGUGGCAUGAUCUACAAGCCUGGAGGCAGCAACAUGCAGCAUGUCACCUCCAUCUCCUUCCUGCUCCUGACCUACGCCAAGUACCUCACGAAGUCCUCUCACACUGUCAACUGUGGUGACAUUUCAGUUGGCCCAGACACCCUCCGGCUUCAAGCCAAAAAACAGAUAGAUUAUCUGUUGGGAGACAACCCGAUGAAAAUGUCGUACAUGGUCGGGUACGGCGACCGAUAUCCUCAGCGGAUCCACCACCGAGGGUCAUCUUUGCCUUCGAUCAAGGACCACCCGGAGCGCAUGGCGUGCAAAGACGGCACGCCUUACUACGACUCGUCUAGCCCGAACCCUAACCCGUUGGUCGGCGCCAUCGUCGGCGGGCCAGGGGAGGAUGAUGCUUAUGGGGACGACCGUGCUGAUUACAGGAAAUCUGAACCCACUACGUACAUCAAUGCUCCCUUGGUAGGGGUUCUUGCCUACUUUGUUGGCAACCCAAACCCAGGCCAUAUCAGACACUGA